AACGCACAUUGCGCCCGCCGGUAUUCCGGCGGGCAUGCCUGUUCGAGCGUCAUUUCAACCCUCAGGCCUCGCCUGGUGUUGGGGCUCCUGCGCACUGCAGGCCCUCAAAGGCAGCGGCGGGUGCGCCUACGAACCGAACGCAGUAGUCUUCUCUCGUUCUGGUCGCGCGGGCGUGCUCCGGCCGUUAAACCCCCUUUAUUUUCAAUGGUUGACCUCGGAUCAGGUAGGAAUACCCGCUGAACUUAA
rnacentral:misc_RNA from 1 species